rnacentral:lncRNA from 1 species
AAAAAAUACACAUGUACUCAUUUUAUUGGAUUAAAUCCAUACACCACUAUAAAACAAUUACACAACCGACACCUUUCUGGGGUACCCAUCCUUAUUCGGCAAGAUUUACCACCAUACUGGCUCAUCUAUACAUACUCACAUAUAUCAUAACAAAAAAGAGGACGAGCAGCACUCCCUUCAUCAUCUCACAUCCUAGUGUUUGACAAAAACUAGCUGAACACCCCAAUUCCUCUACCCUAAGACCAACGCCAACCAUGGUGAAGAAGACAAGAGAGUUGUUUCUCUGUUUCACAUCCAUCUUCGCCACCUACUGGCAAGCUUAGCAGGAAAACCUCCAUUUUCAGUGAACAAGAAGCAACCAUCAUCCCUGCUCUCUUCGACAAAAAAUGCCACCAUAUCCUCCUUCAAACCAACCAUCUGCUUCUCCCAUUUUUAGCCAUGUGAGGUCACUUUUAUCCACUUGAACUCCAGCUGAAAAUCAACAACAAUCACAACCCCAAACACACCCGAAAAUCACCUAAAAAAAUUGUCCCUUCUCGCGAAAGAGCAGCUCCAAGGUUGAAUUCGAAUCAGCCGGCGAGCUUAAGUUCGAGUGAGCUCCGGUCUUGGUUCGUGAGUCCCGAACACGUUUGUUGGAGUGUUUGUAAUUUGAUAAAAAAAAGAUAGAUCAAUUAAAAAGGUCCGCUCCUUUUCACCAUUACUUUGGCAGAGUAAUCUUUGUGUGAAAUUUGCUUGUUCUUAUGACUACAAGUGUGGAUUUGCUUAUUGUUUUCCUCUGUUAUCAUAUAACAUGAUUUUCAUUCAACAUUAUUUCCAGGUCGAAGUUGAGAUCUAUGACUUUUUUCUUAUAAUUUAUUUGAAUUUGUUAUUUAGUUUGGAAUGUUUCUUAAAUAAAUAGCGAGGCAUGUUUGUUUUUUGUUCA